rnacentral:rRNA from 1 species
GGGUGCGGCGGCUAUAAUGCAGUCGACGGAGUUGUUGUAGCAAUACGGCAACUUAGUGGCGAACGGGUGAGUAACGCGUUGGUGACCUGCCCCGAAGAGGGGGAUAACAGUCCGAAAGGAUUGCUAAUACCCCAUGUGGUUACCGGUUUUAGAAUCCGGCAACUAAAGUCGUAAGACACUUUGGGAGGGACCUGCGUCCCAUCAGCUAGUUGGUAAGGUAACGGCUUACCAAGGCGACGACGGGUAGGGGACCUGAGAGGGUGGACCCCCACAAUGGCACUGAAACACGGGCCAUACACCUACGGGUGGCAGCAGUAGGGAAUAUUGCUUAAUGUGCGAAAGCGCGAAGCAGCAACGCCGCGUGUGCGAUGAGGGCCUUCGGGUCGUAAAGCACUUUUUAGAGGGAUGAGAAAGGACAGUACCUCUAGAAUAAGCCUCGGCUAACUACGUGCCAGCAGCCGCGGUAAAACGUAGGAGGCGAGCGUUAUCCGGAAUUACUGGGCGUAAAGCGCGUGCAGGCGGUUCGGUUAGUUGGAUGUGAAAGCUCCUGGCUUAACUGGGAGAGGUCGUUCAAUACUACCGGACUUGAGAGUGGUAGAGGGAGAUGGAAUUCCGCAUGUAGUGGUGAAAUGCGUAGAUAUGCGGAGGAACACCAGUGGCGAAAGCGGUCUCCUGGCCCACUUCUGACGCUCAGACGCGAAAGCUAGGGUAGCAAACGGGAUUAGAGACCCCGGUAGUCCUAGCUGUAAACGAUGUUAACUUGGCGUCGGAGGCUUCAAAACCUUCGGUGCCGUAGCAAACGCGAUAAGUUAACCGCCUGAGGACUACGGCCGCAAGGUUAAAACUCAAAGGAAUUGACGG